rnacentral:rRNA from 1 species
UACAGAGGGUGCGAGCGUUGUUCGGAAUUACUGGGCGUAAAGCGCGCGCAGGCGGCUCUUUAAGUCUGACGGUGAAAUGCCGGGGCUCAACCCCGUGCCCGCCGCGGAUACUGGAGGGCUGGAGACACGUAGAGGCAAGCAGAAUUCCGGGUGUAGCGGUGGAAUGCGUAGAGAUCCGGAAGAACACCGGAGGCGAAGGCGGCUUGCUGGGCGUAGUCUGACGCUGAGGCGCGAAAGCGUGGGGAGCGAACAGG